AGGUAUUAAGGAAGUGGUCUAUCUUUCUGAUAAGUACCAUGACACACCGGAGAUGACCGCCUCAAGAAGGCUGAUGGGUUUGGCAGGCAUACAAUACAGGCAGUUCAAGCCCAAGAGGACUCAGAUUGUCAUUGAUUUUAAUUCCAUUAACCACGCUGGAAUGCUGAACAGUGCUACCAAGUGAAAAAGCAAAAGGCUCACCUUGGGGAGCUCCUGAAUGAGGCGAGGAAGAAAAGGGAGUCUGACGAAAUUGAAAGGGACUUUGAUGCCUUUUCUCUUGCCCCCUGCUUUGUCCAAAGGAAACCUGAAGGAUACCUCGACUUUGGCAUCUUUUUGAUAUUUUGAUUAACCGGAUACUCAAGAUAGUUUAAUUUGAUGCUCAUCCUUUGUGGAUGUGUGUGGCAGAAGGACUUUCAAUGCUGUUUUCACACUUUUUUCUUUUGAACUCCCUUUGGGUUUGGGCAUACACAAGGACAUACACUUUCUUUAGUGUUUCAAAUCUUUAGUGUUGUCAAUCAGAUCUUGUCAUGGCUUUCUGCACAAGGGCAAACCAACAGUCCUUCAGACAAGGUUCCAGAUUAGUAUAGAGUCGCCUUGACAUUCACUCUACUCUACUCCACUCUACUGCCAAGUAAAAUAUGAAAACUUAAAGCAAACCUCUAAAAAGGGUUCUCUGCAGCUCCCAGGAGGCUUUGGCAGCAGGCCAAUGAGUAAGAUCUGGUAGCUGUAUUUCCAAUAAAAUAUUUUAUUCAAUAACAAAAUAAAACCUAUUUUCCAGAUGACACAGAUAGAUGGAGCUGCUUUGUGCAUGCCCUAAUUAUUCUAAUAUUAACCCGGUCCUUCUUUGCUCAUGAGAUCUCCAUCCCAUGAGUAAAGCCUUGAAUGAAUGCAUGAAUCUCAACACUAUGAACAUGUUAAUGUGUGCGGUUUUUUUUUUUUUUAAUAUAGUCCCUGUAGAGGGAUAUAAAUAUUUGUUUUAGUGACCAUUUUACAAUGGGUUUUCUGAAAGAUGUUGCUCUUCUUUUAUAACAUGUUUUUUUUUUUUUUAAAUGACUUUCCAUUUUCUAUUGCAACACAAGUCUGCAGAUGCUCUAUAUCUAUAACAAUGUAUUUUUGAUGUUUCUUUCCUGGUACCAAAAAGCAUGUCUUUCCUAUGGGUCAUAAUACUGUAGAUGAAAACUAACAUGCUGUUAACUUUGGAAGCUAAUGUUUGUCUUCAUAACAUUCUGUGUCUCCAGACCUUCAUUCCUUGUCAGCUCUCAGUUGAAGUCAAUAAAACAUUUGGACGGCAUGAUC